rnacentral:lncRNA from 1 species
AGUGCUUAUCCUUGGAACCCAGCCACCAUGCUGUGAGGAAGCCCAAACUACUCCACGUAAAGGGAGCUCAUGGAGAAGCCUCCGGUAGGUGUUCCUGCCAAGAGAUGAGCUGAGAGUCCAACCAACAGCAACAUCGACUGCCAGACACGAUGCACCAAAUAGAGAGUAAAUAUCAGCUUCAUGAAUGAAUAAUGAAAAUGGAGAGAUAACUGAAUGAAUCAUACUACUCAUCAUUAGAAGAGUUAUAUUCACCAGAAACCCACUAAGACCCCACGUAAGAUAAAUGUCACAUUCUGACAAAAGCACCAAGAAAUAGAAGAAGAAAAACAAUGUAUGUGAAUAAAGUGAACAACCAGAAACUAAAUAAGUAUCGUCUAGGGUGUGGUGGCCAGAAUACUACUUUCCCCAAGAUGCCCAAGGUCUUCAUUCUUGAAACCUGUGGCAAAAAGGACUUAAUAGGCUAACUUACUGAGUUAGGGUUCUUGAGAUGGGAAGAUUAUCCUGACUUUACAGGUAGACCCAGCGUUUACCAGGAUCCCUGUAAGAGCAAGGCAGGAAUGACAGAAUCAGAGAAGAUGAUGUAGUGACAAAAGCAGGGGUCCGAGUGAUGCCACUGCUGGCUUUGAAAAUGAAGGAAAAGGCCACCGGCCAAGGAAGGCAGGCAGCUUCACGAAGCUGGAAAAGACUCUCCCCUAGAGCCUCCAAAAACAUGCAAUCCUGCCAAUGCCUUGAUUUGGCCCAGUGAAACCCAUUUCAGAUGUCUGACCUCCAAAAACAGAAGAUUUAGAAAGAUUUUUUUUUUGUUUUUUUUUUUUUUAAAGUUCAAAGGUACAUGUGCAGGUUUGUUACAAAAGUAAACGUGUAUCAUGGGGGUCUGUUGUGCAGAUUAUUUCAUCACCCAGGUAUUAAGCAUAGUACCCAUUUGUUAUUCUUCCUCAUCCUCUCCCUCCUCCCACCCUCCACCCUCCAAUAGGCCACAGUGUGUGUUGUUCCCCUCUGUGUGUCCGUGUGUUCUCAUCAUUUAGCUCCCACUUAUAAGUGAGAACGUGCGGUAUUUGGCUUUCUGUUCCUGCAUUAGUUUGCUAAGGAUAAUGUUUUAAGCUACUAAAUUUGUGGUAGUUUGUUACAACAGCAAUAGGAAACUAAUAUACUGGGCUAUUACUUCUUGAUUUCCAAAUCUGCUUUUAAUAAAGAGGAAUCAUUUUC